UGGGGGAUAUUGCACAAUGGGGGGAACCCUGAUGCAGCGACGCCGCGUGAGUGAAGAAGCAUUUCGGUGUGUAAAGCUCUAUCAGCAGGGAAGAAGAGUGACGGUACCUGAGUAAGAAGCCCCGGCUAACUACGUGCCAGCAGCCGCGGUAAUACGUAGGGGGCAAGCGUUAUCCGGAUUUACUGGGUGUAAAGGGAGCGUAGACGGCGAUGCAAGCCUGAUGUGAAAGCCCGCGGCUCAACUGCGGGACUGCAUUGGGAACUGUAUGGCUGGAGUGCAGGAGAGGUAAGCGGAAUUCCUGGUGUAGCGGUGAAAUGCGUAGAUAUCAGGAGGAACACCGGUGGCGAAGGCGGCUUACUGGACUGUAACUGACGUUGAGGCUCGAAAGCGUGGGGAGCAAACAGG
rnacentral:rRNA from 1 species